rnacentral:rRNA from 1 species
GAUGAACGCUGGCGGCGUGCCUAAUACAUGCAAGUCGAGCGAACAGACGAGGAGCUUGCUCCUUCGACGUUAGCGGCGGACGGGUGAGUAACACGUAGGUAACCUACCUAUAAGACUGGGAUAACUUCGGGAAACCGGAGCUAAUACCGGAUAAUAUUUCGAACCGCAUGGUUCGAUAGUGAAAGAUGGCUUUGCUAUCACUUAUAGAUGGACCUGCGCGUAUUAGCUAGUUGGUAAGGUAACGGCUUACCAAGGCAACGAUACGUAGCCGACCUGAGAGGGUGAUCGGCCACACUGGAACUGAGACACGGUCCAGACUCCUACGGGAGGCAGCAGUAGGGAAUCUUCCGCAAUGGGCGAAAGCCUGACGGAGCAACGCCGCGUGAGUGAUGAAGGUCUUCGGAUCGUAAAACUCUGUUAUUAGGGAAGAACAAACGUGUAAGUAACUGUGCACGUCUUGACGGUACCUAAUCAGAAAGCCACGGCUAACUACGUG